ensembl:lncRNA
UCCUGAGGGAAGGGGCGUUCCCAGAGUUGGAUGCCCAGACCUGGGACGUGAGGCGCAGAGAGAUCUACGUCCCCUUCCCUGGCAUUUUUUUCUUCUACAGGGGAUGUGAGGAGUUCCCUAGUGUCCUAUAGGUUAAGGGUCCAGUGUUGGAUCCCUGCUGUGGUGCAGAUUCAAGCCCUGGGCUGGGAACUUCAGCAUGCCCUGGGAGUGGUGAAAAUCAGUCAGUCGAUCAGUCAGUGGGAUUGACCUCAGACCAUUCUGCAUGGUCAUUAUCUUGGUUGUCUCCGCUCCCAAGAGGCAUUUUCACACAAACCCUGUGUGGGGAGGUAACGGUUGGAAGUGCACCCCAAAGAGCAAGAUCUCUCUAAGUAGAACUUGGAUGCUGGAGGCUCUGCUGGGCAGGUGGGGAUUGUGGGCAUUGAGGGCUUGGCCUGGGAGUCAGCUGUUGGUCAUUUCCCUGUGGUCUUCUGCAAUCAGUAUAUCACUCGUUCUCUCUGUUGUCAUGUAUUUUCCAGACUGUUGCUUUGGGAGCAAAGGAUCGUGCUUCAAAAGUCUGAGGACAAGUUUGUCCUCUGCGAGCUUGGCUAGAAUAAUUCCCCGGUGGCCACACAACAGGGUGCACCUUGCCACUGAGCCAGAUGAAGCAACGCACGCCGACGAUGUUGUGGAGGCCGGUGGGAGUGAGAAGACCGAGGCAAAGCCCCGGGCUGGGGGACAUGAGGACGAGGCGGCCCCAGUACCUGAGGUGGAGGUGGAGGAGGAGGCGGGCCAGCCCCGUGAAAAUGGCCAGGAGGAGUCCUUAGCCAUCGCCUGGGCUGAGCCGGAAGACGAGCCUGGCCCCAAGGUGGACGGGGCGGACGAUGAAAUCUCUUGGAGCUUGGAGAGUGUGUGUGAGAGCGACCUCGCUGACAGCAACCUCGCAGAAAGUGAUCGAGACUCGGUGGCGGAGCGCACCGACUGCCGCCAGGAUGAGGAGGCUGCAGGUAGGGAAGAGCACGCAGCUGGGAUCCAGGGGGAGAGGGUUCCUGGGAGCAGCUGGGUUCCACCUGCUGCCGGGAGAGGGCGGAAGGGGGCUAGGACUUGGGUGGGUGUGUGGGUGUGUGGGUGGCCUACUGAGCGGAACUCCGCUGUGGUGUUUUCCCCUCUGAAGUUGCUAAGCCGAAGACGACUUGGGUCCCUGGUCUUUGUUGUGCUGUGUUUGGAUUCGUGUCUCCUUCCUUUGAGAGGGAGAAUGGCUUUUCCCUCCCGAAGCCGCUCCUUCCAGCUCUUGUCUCUGGCCAUGGGGCCAGCUUGCUUUGUGGGUCGCACCCUGAGGGUCCUGUGCACAAGAGCUGUUGACUUAGUUUCCUUUGUUGCCCUUGAGGGCCCUGGUGUGGUGGGACGCAACCCUCUCCUAGGCCCUUGGAAAGUGAUCGAGGUAAGAACAGCUCUCAGGUAGGAGCCAGUGGGAGAGGGUUCUUGGGAUACUUGUGUUAUGCCUGCUGCAUGGAGAAGACAGCUCUCUCCCUCUGCACGUUUGGGAUUUCUGGCCUCCCUGUCCUGGUGUGUCCUCGCGGUGUGUCCUGAGGGAAGGUGCGUUCCCAGAGUUGGAUGAGUUGAAGGUGACGUCCUUGGAGUAGGCGUGGUUAACGAAUCUGACCUGGAACCAUGAGAUUGCGGGUUCGAUCCUUGGCCUCGCUUAGUGAGUUGAGGAUUCCGGGUUGUUGGGAGCUGUGCUGUAGGUCAUAGAUAUAGCUGGUGUCCUGCUUUGCUGUGGUUGUGGUGUAGCCUUGCAGCUACAGCUCCAAUGGAUCCCUAACUUGGGAGCCUACAUGUGUUGCAAGAGUUGCCCGAGAAAGUACAAAAAACAACAAUGCAAUACAGUUAAAUAAAGGAGACCUCAUUGGGUUUGUAAAUAAUAUCUAGUAUCCUUGAUUUCUGUCCACCUGCACAGCUGACCUCAGGCUGCUGUCAUGACCUAGCUCCCCUCUCGGGGAUGUCCAUGUCCAGCUCCCCUGAGAGACCCCCCCUGUCCAGCAGAAAUUUGGUGGUCUGUGUGAAUGGGCUGCUGGCCUUGCUUCACACACUUUCUUUCCUGGCCCUGUGAUCCUGUCUCCUGGAUUGACCUGGUCCACUAACUGAGCCUCUGGCAGCAGGACCAGGGGUUCACAGCUCCUGUCAGAUCCCCCUCCUCCCAUCAGACACCCACCCCCUAAUCCCCACACCCCAGUCAUGUUGACCCUCUGACCCUUCCUAGCCCAGCCCCGGUCUCCUCCCUUCCAGACCCCCCAAGACUAAGGCCAAACGGAGGCAGGUGGGGAGCAUUCACGUCGGGUCUGUACUGAACCAAUCUCAGUCUGAGAGAGUUGAGACGUGGUCCUUUCCCUCUGAGUUUGUGUCCACCACUCUAAGGCCUCCGCAAUGUCAGGGCUCCAGAAAUCAAUGGAGAAGACGGCAACUGUGCCUCAGUGCUCAUGCAUGCAGGGUGGCUCAUCUGGCCCAUCCCUGCAUCCUUGUGGAUGUUUAGUGCUCCUGGCAUCACAGAGAAGACAUGGCAGGAUCCCGACCUGAGUGGGAACUGCCAGGGUCUGAGUCUUCCCUCUGCCUCUGUAAGGCCCAGGGAGGUCCUGAGCCACCCCAUGGCACCAAUUCUCAAACUGAGGUUGGAACUUCUUUAAACUCUUUGACAUAGAUGACAAGAUCAAACGUAGGAACCCCUGAGGCAAUUCUAUUCCAUGUUCUCUUGGGAAGAGUCAAAGGCUAGAAUUCAAGUUCCUUAUGUUCCUUUUAGUGACUUUUCACUUCGUCAUCUAAUACCAUGAAUGUAACUUGUUUUACUACACUUUCAAAAGCAUUGUCUUCUCCGAGUUCCUGCUGUGGCUCAGUGAGUUAAGAACAGGACAUGGUGUCCAUGAAGAUGCAGGUUCAAUCCCUGGCCUCACUCAGUCUAAGGAUCUGGCAUUGCUGCAAGCUGUGGCAUACAUUGCAAAGGCGAUUCGAAUCCUACCUUGUUGCGUCUCUCUUAGGCCUGCAGACUUGUAUCUGACCCCUAGCCUGUGAACUUCCACAUGCUGCAGAUGUGGCUGAAAAAAGAAAAAAAAAAAAAAGAACACCUUUUCUUCUAUAUGCUUUUCAUGUAGCAGUAUAAUAAAAAGAUAAAUUUAUAUGUUGUUUAGCACAUCUUCAUGACUUUGUUAAACUCUUAAUACUGAAAAAUAUUCAUUGAAUUUCUUUCACUGUAGGUUAGUUACCGUAUUGUGUUAGGUGUACAGCUUCAAAUUCUUUUUCUUUACAGGUUGUGAGAAGAUACUGCAUAGAGUUCCAUGUGCUGCACAGUGAAUCCUUGUUGCUUCUCUAUUAAUCUCACACUCCUCAUUGAUCCCUUCCCUUCUCUUUCCCCUUUGCUAAUGGAGGUUUGCUUUCCAUGUCCGUGCGUUGUUUCUGUUUUGUAAAAAAGGUGGAUUUGUAAUCAUGUUUCAGAUUCAGCAUAGAAGUGUUAGAACUUUAGUCUUUGUCUAACUUCACGUAGUAUGAUAAUCUCUAGGUCCGUCCAUAUUGCUGAAAAUUGUAUUGUUUCAUUCUUUCUUAUGGCUGAGUACGACUCCGAUAUACAUAUAUAUAUAUAUGAAGUAUUUUUUGAAGAAGUAAAGGGUAGUUGAUUACCAUGUUGUACCCAUUUCUGCUGUAUAGCAAAGGGACCCAGUCACACCUAUUUAUACAUUUUUUUUCUCUUCUGUUCCAUUGUGUUCUCUCCCAAGAGACUGAAUACAGUUCCCUGUGCUACAGCGUAGGGCCUCAUUGCUUAUCCAUCCUAAAUGUAAGCAUUUGCAUCAACCAACCCCAAACUCCCAGUCCAUCCCACUUCCUCCCCCCUCCCCCUUGGCAACCACACAUCUGUCCUCCAGAUCUGUGAGUCUGUUUCUGUUCUGGAGAUACGUUCCUUUGUGCCCUCUCUUAGCUUCUGCAUGUAAGUGAUGUCAUGUGGUAUUUGUCAUUGUCUUUCUGAC